rnacentral:rRNA from 1 species
UACAGAGGUCUCGAGCGUUGUUCGGAUUCAUUGGGCGUAAAGGGUGCGUAGGUGGCGCCGUAAGUCGGGUGUGAAAUUUCGGAGCUUAACUCCGAAACUGCAUUCGAUACUGCGGUGCUUGAGGACUGGAGAGGAGACUGGAAUUCAUGGUGUAGCAGUGAAAUGCGUAGAUAUCGAGAGGAACACCUGCGGCGAAGGCGGGUUGCUGGGCUGACACUGACGCUGGAGGCGCGAAAGCUAGGGGAGCAAAACGGG